rnacentral:rRNA from 1 species
UGGGGAAUAUUGCACAAUGGAGGAAACUCUGAUGCAGCGACGCCGCGUGAGGGAAGAAGGUUUUCGGAUUGUAAACCUCUGUCUUCGAGGACGAAAAAAAUGACGGUACUCGAGGAGGAAGCCACGGCUAACUACGUGCCAGCAGCCGCGGUAAUACGUAGGUGGCAAGCGUUGUCCGGAAUUACUGGGUGUAAAGGGAGCGCAGGCGGAACUGCAAGUUGGGUGUUUAAUCUACGGGCUCAACCCGUAUCAGCAUUCAAAACUGUGGUUCUUGAGUAAUGCAGAGGUAGGCGGAAUUCCCGGUGUAGCGGUGGAAUGCGUAGAUAUCGGGAGGAACACCAGUGGCGAAGGCGGCCUACUGGGCAUCAACUGACGCUGAGGCUCGAAAGCAUGGGUAGCAAACAGG